rnacentral:rRNA from 1 species
UACGUAGGCAGCGAGCGUUGUUCGGAAUUACUGGGCGUAAAGCGCACGUAGGCGGCUUUGUAAGUUAGAGGUGAAAGCCCGGGGCUCAACCCCCGGGUCUGCCGUGCCGACUGUCAAACUCGAGGGCUGUAGAGGCAGACGGAAUUCCGGGUGUAGCGGUGGAAUGCGUAGAGAUCCGGAGGAAGACCGGUGGCGAAGGCGGUCUGCUGGGCAGUUUCUGACACUGAGGCGCGACAGCGUGGGGAGCAAACAGG